rnacentral:tRNA from 1 species
GGCCUUAUGGUCUAGUCGUAUGAUUCUCCCUUUGGGUUUCGCUUGAGUGGGAGAGGUCUCGGGUUCAAUUCCCGAUGAGGCCC